rnacentral:rRNA from 1 species
GACGAACGCUGGCGGCGUGCUUAACACAUGCAAGUCGAACGGAAAGGCCCUGCUUUUGUGGGGUUCUCGAGUGGCGAACGGGUGAGUAACACGUGAGUAACCUGCCCUUGACUUUGGGAUAACUUCAGGAAACUGGGGCUAAUACCGGAUAGGAGCUCCUGCUGCAUGGUGGGGGUUGGAAAGUUUCGGCGGUUGGGGAUGGACUCGCGGCUUAUCAGCUUGUUGGUGGGGUAGUGGCUUACCAAGGCUUUGACGGGUAGCCGGCCUGAGAGGGUGACCGGCCACAUUGGGACUGAGAUACGGACCAGACUCCUACGGGAGGCAGCAGUGGGGAAUAUUGCACAAUGGGCGGAAGCCUGAUGCAGCAACGCCGCGUGCGGGAUGACGGCCUUCGGGUUGUAAACCGCUUUCGCUUGUGACGAAGCGUGAGUGACGGUAAUGGGUAAAGAAGCACCGGCUAACUACGUG